rnacentral:rRNA from 1 species
CCUACGGGAGGCAGCAGUGGGGAAUCUUGCGCAAUGGGCGAAAGCCUGACGCAGCCAUGCCGCGUGAAUGAUGAAGGUCUUAGGAUUGUAAAAUUCUUUCACCGGGGACGAUAAUGACGGUACCCGGAGAAGAAGCCCCGGCUAACUUCGUGCCAGCAGCCGCGGUAAUACGAAGGGGGCUAGCGUUGCUCGGAAUUACUGGGCGUAAAGGGAGCGUAGGCGGAUAGUUUAGUCAGAGGUGAAAGCCCAGGGCUCAACCUUGGAAUUGCCUUUGAUACUGGCUAUCUUGAGUACGGAAGAGGUAUGUGGAACUCCGAGUGUAGAGGUGAAAUUCGUAGAUAUUCGGAAGAACACCAGUGGCGAAGGCGGCAUACUGGUCCGUUACUGACGCUGAGGCUCGAAAGCGUGGGGAGCAAACAGGAUUAGAUACCCUGGUAGUCCACGCUGUAAACGAUGGAGUGCUAGUUGUCGGCGAUGCAUGCAUGUCGGUGACGCAGCUACGCAUAAGUACACUCCGCCGUCGGGAGGUACGGUCGCGAAGAAUUAAACUAACGAAGAAGUUAGUACGGCGUGAGACGUACGCCGAACGGACGACGACGAGGGAGGUUAGG